AGACCCGAAACCCGGUGAUCUAGCCAUGGGCAGGUUGAAGGUUGGGUAACACUAACUGGAGGACCGAACCGACUAAUGUUGAAAAAUUAGCGGAUGACCUGUGGCUGGGGGUGAAAGGCCAAUCAAACCGGGAGAUAGCUGGUUCUCCCCGAAAGCUAUUUAGGUAGCGCCUCGUGAAUUCAUCUCCGGGGGUAGAGCACUGUUUCGGCUAGGGGGCCAUCCCGGCUUACCAACCCGAUGCAAACUGCGAAUACCGGAGAAUGUUAUCACGGGAGACACACGGCGGGUGCUAACGUCCGUCGUGAAGAGGGAAACAACCCAGACCGCCAGCUAAGGUCCCAAAGUCAUGGUUAAGUGGGAAACGAUGUGGGAAGGCCCAGACAGCCAGGAUGUUGGCUUAGAAGCAGCCAUCAUUUAAAGAAAGCGUAAUAGCUCACUGGUCGAGUCGGCCUGCGCGGAAGAUGUAACGGGGCUAAACCAUGCACCGAAGCUGCGGCAGCGACACUCAGGUGUUGUUGGGUAGGGGAGCGUUCUGUAAGU
rnacentral:rRNA from 1 species